rnacentral:rRNA from 1 species
CUUGCUAAUAUAAGAGGUCCAGCCUGCCCAGUGACUCAGUUCAACGGCCGCGGUAUCCUAACCGUGCAAAGGUAGCGUAAUCACUUGUCUUCUAAAUAAAGACUAGUAUGAAAGGCACCACGAGAACCAAACUGUCUCCCUUUUCUAAUCAGUGAACCUAAUCUCCCCGUGAAGAAGCGGGGAUUUGCUAAUAAGACGAGAAGACCCUAUGGAGCUUUAAACACAUAACACCUGCCCAUAAAUUAAUACCACGCAGACUGAUUAUAAGUUUUCAGUUGGGGCGACUACGGAGAAAACCCCACCCUCCGUGAUGACUACAACAAGCUACAGCUUUACGUAUCAAUAAACUGACACCAUUGACCCAAUAUAUUGAUCAACGAAC